GCCACUUUGGAGGCCUCAUGCUUCUGAGUCAACUGGCUAUAUUACGGUGCUGACUGGGUAACUCAUCCAGACUAGGAAGGGGAAACUGGAUUACUACUCCAUUGGAUGAAAGGAAGAGUAUGCCUGGAAUACAGGAGAUCCCUUAGGGUGUCUGUUAAUAUUACCAUGCCCCACGAUCAAGGUCAAUGGGAAACCACAACACAAUCCAGGGAGGACUACGAAUGACCAGGAUUCCUCAGGAAUAAAGGUUCAACACAAUCCAGGGAGGACUACAAAUGACCCAGAUUCCUCAGGAAUAAAGGUUCAACACAAUCCAGGGAGGACUACCAGUGACCCAGAGUCCUCAGGAAUAAAGGCUCAACACAAUCCAGGGAGGACUACGAGUGACCCAAAUUCCUCAGGAAUAAAGGUUCAAUCACCCCACCAGGUAAUGAACCAAGACCAGCUGAGCUGCUUGCUGCAGGUAAAAUUAUACAGAAUGGGUAGUGGAAGGCAGUCACAAAUACUAGCUAUGGCCGGGUAACUAGUUACAGAAACAAGGACAGUAAUUGUCAUGAGUAUUUUCUUCCUAUCUUGUUAAGGAUAUGUUUUGGUGUACAUAUUAUACAUGUUAUGCUUACAUUAAGCAAAUAUCUUUGGUUUUGCUCCUCUCUUAUCCCUUUAUUAUAUAUAACAAGAUUUUUUGACUUUAUAUCAAAAUUUACGUGUUGUUAAUUUUACAUCAUAGUGUUUCAAUUAUCAUCCAAAGACUUCACCUUCUCUUCUAGGGAAGAGAUUAGCACAUUUUCUGCUGUAUGCAGAUAGUUUCACCGUGUUAGGUGGAACUAUUUUCUUGUUAUUGUCUUCAUUUGGAGGUUAAGUUUGGUUUAAAGGAAGCAUAGAGGUGCCAAGUUGACAAAAGGUGGACCUGUGAUGAUUAACUUUAGGUGUCAGUUUGACUGGAUUAAGGAACACCUGGAGAGUUGGUAAAGCAUGAUUUUGGGGUGUGUCUGUGGGGGGUUUCCAGAGGAGACUGGCAUGUCAGUCUACGUGGAUUCAGUGGGGAAGAUCCACCCUCACUGUAUGUGGGCACCAUCCCCAUAGGCUGGGACCUGGACAGAACAAAAAAGAGGCGAGGCGAAUAGGUUGCUUCCCUGGAGCUCGGACACACUCUUCUCCCGCCCUUGGCCAGCAGAACUCCAGGCUCUCUCAACUGUGGACUCGAGGACUUAGCCCAGCAACCCCCACUCCCACCUCAGGUUCUCAGGCCCUGGAACUUGCACCGAACAAGACUACUGGCAUUCCAGGGUCCGCCAUAUGUGGAUGGCUGUCACGGGACUUCUCAGAUUCCAUAAUCAGGUGAGCCAAUUCCCCUCAUAAAUCUCCUCCCAUUGAUUUUUAUGUCUCUGGAGAACCCUGAGUAACACAGACCUGUAUACCUUGCACUCUUUUCAACAGCUCUUAACUGCAAAGCAAUUCAAAGUAGCCAUGUCCACAGCAAGCUCGUAAUGAACUUAUUACAGGCUCAUAAUAGCGUCUUAUUUCUGUACUUUCUAUUUCAAUGAAUGUCCCACCAGCCAUUCGAUUAGGCCAGUCAAAAAAUGGGGUGUCAUCCUUGAUAUGACUCUGAUUCCUCUGAUGAUAUGCAGUCUAUCACCAAGUCUCAAUGAUUAAGGGUCUUUCAAAUCUGUGUGCAUUUCUCCAUUUCCACCCAUCACUGUAGCCUAAGCCACCAUCCUCUCUCAACUCUUGCCUUGCAUCUCAAACGGUCUCCAGGUGCACUCAGGCCCACUCAUAAGCAUUUCUCCCCAUUGCAGCCAAAAUUAUAUUUAAACAAACAAACAAAGCAUUUUUCAGGUCAUCAUUUUCCCCUCAGCCCAGCCUCACUCAUAUCUUCUAUUCUUUUAAUAGAAAUGAGGCUCCUAAAUGUGCCUUACAGACUUGGCAUUGUCUCCACCUGCUCUGACCUCCAGCUCCAUUGGCUUGCUUUUCUCCUUCCUGCCCUGUGGCAUUUGCACAUUCUGUUCCUUCUCUAUGAAACCCUCCCUAACCAAACUAACUCCAGCUCCUUCAUGUCUACAGUCAGAGAAGCCUGCUCUGGCAUUUUUAACGAGUCCAAAUCCUCCUCUCAAAUUGGCAACAGGCAGUUCUAGGUAGCUCUCCAUUCAAUCCACUAGCGCCCUUGCCAUCUCACUUCAGUUUGUGAUUAUUUAAAGUCUAUCUCCAGGGCCGGGUGCAGUGACUCAUGCCUGUAAUCUCAGCACUUUGGGAUCCCAAGGCAGGCAGGAGUUCGAGACCAGCCUGGC